UGCGCAGGCGGAAUAUUAAGUCAGUGGUGAAAGCCUACAGCUCAACUGUAGAACUGCCAUUGAUACUGAUCUUCUUGAGUAUAGUUGUAGUGGGCGGAAUAUAUCAUGUAGCGGUGAAAUGCUUAGAUAUGAUAUAGAACACCGAUCGCGAAGGCAGCUCACUAAACUAUAACUGACGCUCAUGUACGAAAGCGUGGGUAGCAAACAGGAUUAGAUACCCUGGUAGUCC
rnacentral:rRNA from 1 species